rnacentral:piRNA from 1 species
ACCCAGACUUGCUGGACAGAUGGUAU